UCUUGGUAUUAUUUAACUUGAUUUGUGAUAGUUAGAUAUCUCAGGGCUACACGCCUGUUUAUCAUGGCCAUUUAAUGGUUAUAAAAUACAGCUGUGACACUUAGUAAAUAUUGAACAGAUGAAACAGCAUUGCAAUUAAGGAUAAGCAGGCUAUAUAGC
rnacentral:ncRNA from 1 species